CAGCAGGACCUACCUCGCAUCAGCUGCGACACUGCAGUCGUAAAGUACACCAGAAGUACAGCGAGUACUUAGUGUCAACAGCCAUCCCUGGCGUUACCUGGUAUGACUCUUGGGGGAAGGGUGAACUUAAUCCUGGAAUGGUAGCGUGUGCCAGGCAUAAGAAACAGAAAGUACAAAGGCACAGAGGCACAUCUGUUAUGCCUGAAGAACAGCCACGCAGCCGGAACACUCGCCGGUGAGAGAGAACCGGGUUUGAUCGGUUGGUUCCAGUCGGUCUGCAAGACACCGCUGAAUGCUGUGGAAAAGAACAACUUUCAUCUGCAGCAAGAAGGGGGAGGAAGGCUUUCCUGACACAAAAACACACAAAACAAAUCACAAUCAAAUCCCCAAACAACUGGAAUCGCAGACCUCGGCUACCUAGGAGCAUCAGUGAGGCUCCAUGUGAAUAUGACUUCAUCUUUGAUGCUCUGAGUAUCUGCUCUUGGAAUGAGUGUGGACAAGGGGGCUCAGUUCCCAGUCCUGACAACCUGAGCUUGAUCUGUGGAACCCACAUCCUAGUCACGAGAAUUGAUUUCUGCAAGUUGUCCUCUGGUCUCCACAUGUAUGCCAUGAACAAAAAAUAAAUAAACAAACAAACAUAA